rnacentral:rRNA from 1 species
UAGGGAAUCUUCGGCAAUGGACGAAAGUCUGACCGAGCAACGCCGCGUGAGUGAAGAAGGUUUUCGGAUCGUAAAACUCUGUUGUUAGAGAAGAACAAGGAUGAGAGUAACUGUUCAUCCCUUGACGGUAUCUAACCAGAAAGCCACGGCUAACUACGUGCCAGCAGCCGCGGUAAUACGGAGGGUGCAAGCGUUAAUCGGAAUUACUGGGCGUAAAGCGAGCGCAGGCGGUUUCUUAAGUCUGAUGUGAAAGCCCCCGGCUCAACCGGGGAGGGUCAUUGGAAACUGGGAGACUUGAGUGCAGAAGAGGAGAGUGGAAUUCCAUGUGUAGCGGUGAAAUGCGUAGAUAUAUGGAGGAACACCAGUGGCGAAGGCGGCUCUCUGGUCUGUAACUGACGCUGAGGCUCGAAAGCGUGGGGAGCAAACAGG